GUGCUCCUUUUGACAUAUACUAAAAUUAGAACAAUACAGAGAUUAGCGUGGCCACUGCACAAAGAUGACAUGCAAAUUCGUGAAGCAUUCUUUAUUUUU
rnacentral:snRNA from 1 species